AACGAACGCUGGCGGCAGGCCUAACACAUGCAAGUCGAGCGAAGCCUUCGGGCUUAGCGGCGGACGGGUGAGUAACGCGUGGGAACGUGCCCUUUGGUACGGAAUAGCCCCGGGAGACUGGGAGUAAUACCGUAUGUGGUCGAGAGACGAAAGAUUUAUCGCCAAAGGAUCGGCCCGCGUUGGAUUAGGUAGUUGGUGGGGUAAUGGCCUACCAAGCCGACGAUCCAUAGCUGGUUUGAGAGGAUGAUCAGCCACACUGGGACUGAGACACGGCCCAGACUCCUACGGGAGGCAGCAGUGGGGAAUCUUAGACACUGGGGGAAACCCUGAUCUAGCCAUGCCGCGUGAUCGAUGAAGGCCUUAGGGUUGUAAAGAUCUUUCAGUGGGGAAGAUAAUGACUGUACCCACAGAAGAAGCCCCGGCUAACUCCGUGCCAGCAGCCGCAGUAACAC
rnacentral:rRNA from 1 species